rnacentral:rRNA from 1 species
UCUGUCUUAGUGGCGGACGGGUGAGUAACGCGUGGGCAACCUGCCCUGUACCGGGGGAUAAACACUUAGAAAUAGGUGCUAAUACCGCAUAAUAGGGAAUACCGCAUGGUAAUCCUUUGAAAACUCCGGUGGUACAGGAUGGGCCCGCGUCUGAUUAGCCAGUUGGCGGGGUAACGGCCCACCAAAGCGACGAUCAGCAGCCGGCCUGAGAGGGUGGACGGCCACACUGGGACUGAGACACGGCCCAGACUCCUACGGAAGGCAGCAG